UCAGGAUCUCUUCAAGGAGAUCGUGCAGAGAGGCAGCGAGAUGUUUCGGUUCUGUCUUCUUCGACUCUUAUAUCGUCCCUUUUUUCUGAAUUUUCUUUAUUUCUUAUCCUUUAAACUUUGUAUUUUUUUUUUUGGUGAUGCAGAUAGAUGAACAUGUUCAAAGGGAAAUCAUGAACCACAGAUCACUGCAUCCGAAUGGACCGAAUAUCGUUUGAUUCGAAGAGGUCAGUGAUCAUAAACUAUUUUAUAAACUAUUUUCAUUUUGUUUUUUAAGAAUGAAUUCGGCAAGUUCUGUUUGAAUUUUGUAUAAGUAUCUGCUGAUGGUGGGUGGAUGAAGACAGAACAUGCUAAAUUUGGCCUUUGGUGUGCUCAAACUGGUACGGGGGAUGGUUAAAACUUUGAGCCUGGGAUGCAGUAGGACUAACAGAAAUCCACCACUUGCAGAAUUGUUGUCAAAAUAACUCUGCUAAAAAUAUGAGCUAUACUUCUUGCACUUUGUUUUUACUGUGAAGUGGAAAUAGUCUUUAGAGUGGCUUAUUUGUGAUAAUUGAUAAAGAGGUUUGUGUUUAAGACUUGAGAGUAGUGCGGUGUCUUUCUCGCUGGUUCUGCUCACACCACCUCAUCUAGCCAUUGUGAUGGAGUACACGGCUGGGUGAGAACUCUUCGAGAGAGUAUGCAGUGCUGGCAGAUUUAGUGAGGAUGAGAUAAAGUAGUUUCAAAUGCACAGAAAAUUUCAUUGGAAUUGAUUUUAGUGUAGAGUCUCAAAUAUGGGAUCUCUAAAUGUCCCCUGAAAUGGAAUCCAUCUCGAUUUUUGCUUAGUUUCAGAUAGGGAAGGUUAUGUCUGAAGCAUUUUUACAUAAACAAUCAGUCAUAAUAUAACAAAAACGAACUUACUUUUUCGAUAUAAUUGUUGUUUUGCAUCAGGCAAGGUUUUUUCCUCCAGCAAUUGAUAUCAGGAAUUAGUUGCUGGCUUUUGAUGGUAUGUAAUGUGGCACUUUUCUGCUAAUCGUAUACUGUUAUUUCUCUUUUGAUAUUGGAAGUGUUGGUUGUAGUAAGGAAAUAAUUCGUUUCAAUAGUUUACGACUUAGUUUUAAUAGUAUAUGACUCAGUUUUUGAAUAGCACUCGGGUGGUUUUUGAAUAACAGUAUUACGACUUAGUUUUCUAAAUGCCAAUAACAGCUCUAGAUUUUGUCUCAAGUGGAGUAUUCUUACUAAUGUAGCAUUUUGUUGGCGCAUCAGUAUGUUUUGAUUGUUUCUCUGCUUGAACAGAGAAUUGUUAACGUCCAGGUGGGAACGUGGGUUGGCUCAUGUUUUAAUCUCUCCGUUGUAAGCAAUUUUACAUGGUAUUCUUCAAUGUAGCUAUAGGUAAGACAACAGUCUCAGUAUUCCAUAAUCUAACCACCAUUUGAACUUUUUUCAUCCACCAAGCUAAGCUUUUAUGUGCCAUCUUGAAUGGUUAUUAUAAGUUAUUGCUUCAGAUUACUCCAGUGCGACAUUAUUGUUCUCUUCCUUACCUCUCAAGCUUGCUUAAUGUCCUUAUUCUUAUUACUGUUGUAUUGUUAAGAAAUACUCAAAUGCGGUUUCAGUUCAUCAUUAUGAAUCAGAUUAAAAUUAACCACUCACUGGUUAAUUAUCUAAAUCCUAUAAAUUCAGAUUAAAAUUAAAGCAACUACAGAACAAAAACCUCAAGAAAUCAACACGAAUUUACCUGUAUUUGAUCAUUUGUGGGAAAAUCAACACAUCGCCAUUGGAAAACUCAGUUCCUUCGCGUCCUUCAAUUACUGUCAGCAACGUCUAUCAAAAACCAAGAAAAAAGUGAGUAACGGAGUCAAUUCAGCUCAACACCAUAACUUAGUAGCUCCAGGAACUAAGACACGGUAAGAAAAAAUAAUCGGAAAUGCUGACGAAUUGAGCUGGAAAAGGGACCUUAACGGUGAUGUCGUUCUUGCGAGCUUUGAGAGCGGAUGCAAAGAACUUAGGGAGUGGAUCGGACUCAGAGCCUUUGAUGCGCCAUGGCCAAGCCUCGGGGGUCUUGUAGCAGAGGAAAACUUGGCGAUUGCUCAACUGCGUAUCGUCCUUAGUGUCUUCAUCAGACUCAUAUGACAUAGUCUCAUAGUCGUACCAAUUAGUACGACCAUCAGACAAAUCCCAUUUUACAAUAUCCACUCCUGUUUUGUUCACCUUAAUAAUUGUAUUAUCUAGUCCAGAAAAUUCUGCUUUUACAAGAACCAUGUCACCGCUUUUCAGAUUGAGCUUCUUGUUUGAAAGAUUUCCCAACCAAAGAUAAUAUUCAUGGGAAGCAGUUACGGUGGCCUUCAUUGCCCAGACGCGAAAGUUAGUUCGCUGGGUACGAUUAACAACACCAAUGGUUAGAAUCCCAGUACAGUCAGAGUUGUCCGAAGAAUAAACGAUGCCCAAAGCCAACCCUCCUAUAUAAUCAAUACUUGGCGGCACUUCGAAUUUGACAGUUUCAUCCUCUCUUGCGACAUAGGCUAACCAGUUAGGAAUAUCAUUUCCAAAGAGAAAAAUUCCACCAAAUGCAUUUUUCUACACCAUGGGGUGCAAAGUUAGUAUAAGCAACAAUACGAGAGAGAGAGAGAGAGAGAGAGAGAGAAAGAGAGAGAGAGUACCGUUUUGGAGGUUCUCCUUAAAAGUAUCAGUGAGACUGGUACACCCUUCCAUGUGAAUUGAUUCCAUGUAGUCCAAUGAGUUCUCCAAGUUUGGAAUAUCUUUGAGUUUGCGGCAGUCUUUCAGUUCCAAUUUCCUCAUUUUCGACAUCUCUGAAAAGUCGGACGUUAUUUCCAGUGCAGUGCAGUAAUUCGCUUCCAGUAGAAGCAAACUGUUCGGCAAAUCUGGGAUUGCCUCAAGGUUUGUGCAAUGAUUUAGAUGUAAUUCCUGAAGCUGAGAAAGGCCAUUGAGAUUGGGCAGCCUAUUAAAACCAUUCCCAUAUAGAACUAAAUAUUUUAAAGAAGAUAGACUCCCAAUUAUUUCGAGAAGGGCACCAUCUGUUAUAUUGCAGUCGCUGAGACCUAAUGCCUCAAUCAUCUUCAGUUGUAGUAAAAAAUGGUAACCCCUACACAAACCCUUACAGCCACUGAGGUUCAAUUCCUCGAGAUGUGGGAGUUUUGAAAAGUCUAGUAAUUCAGUCAGGUUAUGGCAGUCUUUAAGAAUGAGACACUUCAACAUCUUAGGCAACUUCUUAGGCAACUGUUACUCAAAAAGUGAAAACAAUAAUAAAAAUAUAAAUAAAUAAAAGAGAGAAUGCAUGCCGAUGACCGAUGUUGAUAUUUACAAGGACAUUGAUAAUUAUAUCGUACCAGGUCUGAAUCAUCCCAAACUCGUACAAGCUUGCUAUUUCUCAGGUCAAUAAAAACUAGGUUUCGUUGAUCAAAAUCUGCUGGUAUGGCUUCAAGGGGAAAUCCAUCCCAAACCAACAAUCUUAACUCCUUGGAAAGAUGUUUGUAGCUUCCAGUCAGCUUUACAAUUUCCAGCCGGAUAAAUUUCAGACGCCGCAUCUUCUUAAACGCUUCUGUACUGAAGCUUUCCUCGUCAUCAGAAUCUUCUGGCAACCUUAAGUUUAGUCCUUCAACUGCUUCUGUUCCCUGUUAGAGAUAUAAAAAAAAAAAAUGAUAAUAUUCACACGAAGCAGAGCCGUGAAUUGGAUGAAUGAGCUACUAGAAUGGUAGGGCAUACAACAUAAUUAAUUAUGUAUUUUCUCUUUCAAUUUACAGUGGAUGAAAGCCUUUUCUUCUUUUUCUUCAAAUAUAGGCAUACAUUAUAUAUAUGCGGAUAUGUGUAUACACUUCUCUUUCUUUACAUGUACUUAACAUAACAUCUUUUUAUUGCAAAAGUACUUACUGAUUCGUUCAUGAGCACGUUUUUUGCAUCUUCACUAUGCCACAAUCGGCUACGUUUUCCCAAUUCCACAAGAGAUUCUGCCCGCACAAUUUCUCUUCCCAUAUCUCGAAUCAAAUCAUGCAUCCUCAAGUAUCCCUCUUCAUCAAUAUAUAAGAGACAUCGUUCGUAAAGUGUGAUAAUUUCUGCUUCUACAGAAAAACUACUACAACCAUCCAAUAUUGCCGUGACAAAAAUUUUACUCCAUCCAAUAAAGAAACAAGAUAUGUCAAGGAAUACACCCUUCACAUGAUCAUCACGUAGCCCAUCGUAACUUAAUUUAAGCGUUUCAUGAAUUUUUCCAUCUGGAAUAUUUCUCAAUUUAUCCAAUGUACUUUUCCAUAUGCUUUUACUCUUUUUUGUAGCCAACAACUUCAAGAGCUAGGGGCAAUCCUCCACAAUAAUCAAUAACAUCUCUUGCGAGCUCAAUAUAUUCUUUAUCUGGACAAUCAUUUCCAAAGGCAUGCCAACUAAGAAGCUUAAGAGCUUCGUCAUCAGUCAUUCCUUGUGCUUUAUAUCUUUUAUCCACCUUUUGUAUAUUCAGCACUUGUUCAUCUCUUGUCGUUAUAAUAACUCUGCUCCCUGGACCAAACGAGUCAUGUGCUAUUGCCAAUUUAUCUAAUUGGUCCGCAUCAUCUAUGUCAUCAACCACGACAAGUACCUUCAUGCUUCCAAGUCUUUUCUCUAUCUCCUUGGUUCCUUCGGCAACACUGCUUACCUUAAUGUCAAGCCGUUUCAAAAUAUCUCGAAGAAGUUGUUCUUGGAGACUAACCAUAUUUUUCUUGUUACUCCUCACCUCUUCAAGGUAACAUUGACUGCUGAAACUGUGACUAUAUUUGCUACAAAUCUCUUUGGCAAACGUUGUUUUACCUAUACCGCCUGUACCCCAAAUUCCAAUUAUUUGAACAUCAGGUGAACCUCCAACGUCUAAGUAUUUAGUGUUGAAUUCUUUCACGCGAAGAGCUAUUCCAACUGAGUGCUUGGCAUUUUUGAAGUCUCUGGGGGUCAAUCGUCCCUUGAUGUCCCCAAUAAUUUUCUCAAUAAACACUCCUUCGCGCCUACAAGUAGAAAUUCCAAAUUACAAGAGCCAUACUAAUGCCUUAUUCAUCAUGACUAUAUAUUUACAUAUUGAAACAGGUUUGAAUAAAUUGUGAUUUACUGAGCUCAAUUCAACAACGUAUUUAAUCUUCAAUUAUAAUGUGAAUAGAUUAGAUCAUUGGUCAUUGGACUAUUACACCAUUGUAGCUUUCAGUUAUAUAAUUAAGAAUCCAUUACAAUUGGUAUUUUAAUUUGAUAAAGUGUGGAGCAUUUGUUCUUCACACACCCAUAAAAAACGAAGCAUUGUACCCUGCAUUUCACUUCCUUAGUUUUGACGGCAAUUCAUAUGCAAAUGCUCUACCAUUUAUAAAAUUCAUAUACCAAUUCUAAUAAAUUUUUAUGCAGUGACCAAAAUUACAAUUCUAUCAUAGUUCAGGGACCAAUGAUCCAAUUUUUCUUCUAACAUAUAAAAUCAUAUUCAAUGCCUUAAUUAUAAUUUCUUAAUUUUGGUUAAUUAGUGAAAUAACUCCGCCUGUGUAAGUUUAUCUUACAUUGCCGGUCCCAAGCCCGGGUAAAGGAGGAGGGGGGAGGGCGUCAGGUAGUCGACAGUCGGCACUACACAGUUACGUCGAAUCCUUAUGAAAAUGAAUCCAUAACGAAAUCGCGCUAAAGCUAGGGCGUCACCCGUAAGUGGCGCGCUGUGUGGCCCGAGCACAGUGAUAAGUGAGCAAGGGUCGCUGUAUCUCCAUAGGCACCCGGAUGCAGUGUUAAAUGAGCAAGGGGGCCAUAGAAACUUCUUUUUGAACGACUCCACUCAAAGUUGUUUAGGAGCAUAUGCUCCUAUCAACUUUACACGGGACACACAAAAGAAGUACUUUGAUUCCAUUGGACGGGGGAGGGUGAAGAAGCUAGGACAGAAGGGUAGAGUUCAAGAGAGUAGAAUGCGUUUAGGAACGUGGAAUAUAGGAACCUUAACGGGAAAAUCUAUGGAAGUAGUGGAAGUUAUGGUAAGGAGAAGGAUAAAUAUUAUGUGCCUAUAAGAAACUAAGUGGGUUGGUCUUAAGGCAAAGGAUCUAGAAAACUCAGGGUUUAAACUUUGGUACUCGGGCACAAAUAGAACGAGAAACGGUGUUGGCAUCAUCGUGGACAAGACCUUGACACAAGAUGUUGUAGAUGUCAAGAGGGUAGGAGAUAGAAUUAUGGCAAUCAAGAUUGUAAUAGGACAAGAACUCAUCAAUGUGAUUAGUGCGUACGCACCUCAAGUAGGGUUGGAUGCGAGUUCGAAGGAGAAAUUUUGGGAAGACCUUGGAGACUUGGUGCAAGGAAUUGCCCAGACAGAGAAGUUAUUUAUAGGAGGAGAUUUAAAUGGACACGUGGGCAGGGAGACAGGCAACUAUGGAGGUUUUCAUGGUGGCCAUGGUUUUGGGGAGAGAAACGAGGAUGGGAAAGCUAUCUUGGAUUUUGCAAUGGCAUAUGAUCUCUUCUUAGCCAACACCUUCUUUAAGAAAAGAGAAGAACAUGUGAUCACCUACAAGAGUGGGUUGUCAAAAACACAAAUAGAUUUUCUUCUAAUUUGGAAAGGGGAUCGUAUAACUUGUAAGGAUUGCAAAGUUAUACCGGGAGAGAGCUUGGCUAAUCAACAUCGCUUGUUGGUGAUAGAUGUACAUAUCAAAAGAGUGAGAAAAAAGAACAAGACUUGGAAGUGCCCAAGGACUAGAUGGUGAAAUCUAAAAGGAGAAAAACAAGUCAUUUUCAAAGAGAAAGUAAUCACCCAGUGUGGGUGGGAUAGAGAGGGGGAAGUUAGCCAAAGGUGGGAUUCCAUGGCUAGUUGUAUACGAAAAGUAGCAAAAGAGGUAUUAGGAGAGUCCAAGGGCUUUGCUCCACACCAAAAGGAAUCUUGGUGGUGGACUGAGGAGGUACAAACAAAGGUGAAGGCUAAGAAAGAAUGUUGUAAAGCCCUAUACAAGGACAUGACCGAUGAAAAUGGUGAAAGGUAUAGAAGAGCGAAGCAAGAGGCGAAGAAAGCUGUGAGAGAAGCUAAGUUAGCGGCUUAUGACGAUAUGUAUAAGCGACUAGCAAAAGAAUGAGAGUUGGAUAUUUAUAAACUAGCUAGAGCAAGGGAAAAGAAGACAAGGGACCUAAACCAAGUGAGGUGCAUCAAGGAUGAGGAUGGAAAGGUUCUUGCUACAGAGAACGCGGUCAAAGACAGAUGGAGAGGUUAUUUUCAUAAUCUUUUCAAUGAAGGACAUGAAAUGAGUACUUCUUUAGGGGAGUUGAGUAACUCAGAAGAGUGUAGAAACUACUCAUUUUAUCGUCGAAUCAGGAAGGAAGAAGUGGUUGUAGCUUUGAAGAAGAUGAAGCAUCGAAAAGCAGUGGGCCCAGACGAUAUACCGAUCGAAGUGUGGAAAGUCUUGGGAGAGACAGGUAUAGCAUGGCUCACUGACCUUUUCAAUAGGAUUUUGAAAAUGAAGAAGAUGCCAAAUGAGUGGCGAAAUAGCACUUUGGUGCCUAUCUACAAGAAUAAGGGCGACGUACAAAACUGCAUGAACUAUAGGGGUAUUAAGCUAAUGAGUCAUACAAUGAAGCUCUGGGAGAGAGUCAUUGAGCAUAGAUUGAGGCAAGAGACACGGGUUUCGGACAACCAAUUCGGGUUCAUGCCAGGGCGCUCAACCAUGGAGGCAAUCUAUCUCUUACGAAUAUUGAUGGAAAGAUAUAGAGAUGGGAAAAAUGAUUUACAUAUGGUCUUUAUAGAUUUGGAAAAAGCGUAUGAUAGGGUCCCAAGAGACAUUCUUUGGAGGAUUUUAGAGAAGAAAGGAGUACGAGUAGCAUAUAUCCAAGCUAUAAAGGAUAUGUAUGAAGGAGCAAAGACUGCCGUAAGAACUUAUGAAGGACAAACCGAAAGCUUCCCCAUAACUGUAGGAUUACAUCAAGGCUCAUCCUUAAGUCCUUACCUUUUUGCGUUGGUAAUGGAUGAGUUAAUAGGACAUAUUCAAGAUGAUCUUCCUUGGUGUAUGCUUUUCGCAGAUGAUAUAGUGUUGAUAGAUGAAACUCAGGAAGGGGUAAAUACGAAGCUUAACCUUUGGAGAGAAGUGUUGGAAUCUAAAGGUCUUCGCCUAAGCCGAUCAAAGACAGAAUAUAUGGAAUGCAAGUUCAGUGCAAAUGGAGGCCAAAAUGAGUUAGGGGUGAGGAUCGGAGAUCAGGAAAUGCCAAAGAGCGAUCGUUUUUUCUACUUAGGAUCUAUCUUGCAAAAGAACGGAGAAUUAGAUGGAGAUCUCAACCAUAGAAUACAAGCUGGAUGGAUGAAGUGGAAGAGUGCAUCCGGCGUGUUGUGUGACCGCCGUAUGCCACUGAAGCUCAAGGGAAAAUUUUAUAGGACGACAAUAAGGCCGGCGAUGCUGUAUAGCACAGAAUGUUGGGCGGUGAAGCAUCAACACGUACAUAAAAUGGGUGUAGCGGAGAUGAGGAUGCUUCGUUGGAUGUGUGGGCACACGAGAAAGGAUAAGAUUAUGAAUAAGGAUAUCCGAGGUAAAGUAGGAGUAGCCGAAAUUGUAGAAAAGUUGAGAGAAAAUCGGUUACGGUGGUUUGGACAUGUGCAAAGAAGGCCUACUGACGCUCCGGUUAGAAGAUGGGACUACGGGACAGAGGUUCAAGGCCGAAGGGGUAGAGGAAGACCUAGGAAAACUUUGGAAGAGACUCUAAGAAAAGACUUAGAGUAUUUGGAUUUAACAGAUGACAUGACACAGGACCGAGCACAAUGGCGUUCUAAGAUUCAUAUAGCCGACCCCACUCAGUGAAGAAGGCUUUGGUGUCUUUAACACAAUACGUUGGAAAUGAAGCAAAGCUUAUGUAUUGAUAUCUCCGAUAAGUUACAAAUAUGUACAUAUACAUGAGUCAAAAUAAACAAACAAGAGGGAGCCUUCACAAAGGUUGCUUAGGAGAAGUCUCAGCAGUCGGUAGAGCCCCAGAAAGAGAAGGCACCGGAGGGGGAUCAUUCGGAGCCUCAGUACUGGACAGAACCCUAGAAGGAAGAGGCAUCGGAGGUUGAUCAUUUGGAGCUUCAUUAUGCAGUACAGCCCCAGAAGACGAAGGCAAUAAAUGCCUUUGGAACAAACCCACAAACCGCUGAUGAUCAAGUAAAACUUGACCAUCAGAUUCCUUCAUCUGGUCAAGCUUCCUCUUCAUGUUUAUAACAUAGUUAUGUGCGAGCCGGUGCAACUGUUUAUUCUCAUGCUUGAGCCCGCUAAUCUCCUGUUUGAGACUCAUCACUUCAGCCGCCAAUGAUUCAACUUGGCGGGUUCGAGCAAAUAGGCGUUGGGCCAUAUUAGACACAGAACCUGCACACUGAACACUCAGAGCCAGAGAAUCCUUAACAACCAAUUCAACAGACCGUUUGGAAAGUAGUCUGUUAUCUUUGGGAGUGAGAAGGUUCCUGGCCACCACCGCAGCGGUCAUAUCAUUCUUCAUCACAGAAUCCCCAACGGUAAGAGGACCAGUAGGGGAUAAGAAGGAUGGGCGCCAUAUGUUGUCUGGAGAAGGUGUGGCUGCCUCUUCAACAAGGUUCAAGUCAAAACGACGGUCGGAGGGGCCAGACAUUUUCAAAGGUGUUGAAGAGAGAAAAGGUCAGACAAAUCAAGAUCUUAGAAGUGCAAGAAGGGAGCUUCUACUGGUGAAGAUUCAGGUGUGCUUUGAAACUUAAUGCCAGCCUCUAUAAAAAUCUGCACUUGACGGAGCUUCAGAAAUCAAAGAGGCAUCUGCCCAGAAAUCGAAGAGGCGUUUGCUUUCUCAAAAGUUGGGCUGCUCAGAGACCACGAGGGCCGAUUUCAGAAAUCGAAGAGGCGUUUGCUUUCUCAAAAGCUGGGCUGCUCAAAGACCACGAAGGCUGAUCUCAGAAAUCGAAGAGGCGCUUGCUUUCUCAAAAGAUGGGCUGCUCAGAGACCACAAGGGCCGAUCUCAGAAAUCGAAGAGGCACCUGUUUUUUUUUUUUUCAGCCUUGUCAGCAUCUGUCACAUGCACACUCAGCUUUGCUGAAAUUACGGGCAUUCUGGUGAAGUAGAAAGCACGUGAAUCUUAUUGUUCAAUCAUCCACUUUUCACACGCACCAUCAGCUCAUGGGUACCACAGAUAACUUUGCCAAAGAUCUCUGACAAAGUUUAGACACGUGAAGCUUGCAGCUCCCACUACAUCGCUAUGACCAAGAAGGGUAAAAUAAUAGCAAAGAAACAACACUAACAAAGUUUAGACACAGAAAUUUUGAAGGUCUAGCUAUCAUAUUAUUACCCACAAGGGUAAAGGAACAACAUCACGGCUGGAUAAUUGGAAAGUCCCUGUGUGUCAACCUCUGUGCUCCAUGGCAAGGUAGACUAGCAAACAUGCCCUACCUUUACUCACAUUCGAGAAAACACUCCAAACAAGAUUGCUUGCUCCAAAAUCGAAGAGGCACCGUCCUCCGAAUCUUGAGAGCCAGACUCCCAACAUGAUUACUUUCUCAAAAAUCGAAGAGACACCGCUCUCCGAAUCUCGAGAGCCAGACUCCCAGCAGGAUUGCUCUCUCAAAAAUCGAAGAGGCACCGUUCUCCGAAUCUCGAGAGACAGAUCCCCGACAGGAUUGCUUGUUCGAAAACUGAAGAGGCAUCACUUUCUCAACUUCGAGAGCCAGAUCUCCUUGGAUAAAGCUUGUCUGUAAUCUUCACACGCAACAUCAGCUUUCCAGAUACCACAGACCACUUUUUCAAAGUGCUCUGACACACGUGAAGCUGGCAGCUCCCACUACCGUGCUAUGACCAAGCAGGGUAAAGGAAUAGCAUUACUACUUGUUGUUAGGGAGACUCCUAUAUAUGUCGACCUCCAUCUUCAACGGACAGGCAGACCUGCAAAAAUGCUCAACCAUUCCUCAUAUCUGAGAGGGCACUCCCAACGAAGCCUCUCGAAAUACUCAGCUUUCUUUCCCCCCCCCCCCCCGAUAAUACCUUUGCAAACAAGCUACACCAGAGCAAGAAUAUCUCAUAUCAUCAGGGUUAAAAGCAAGAGUAUCCUAUAUCAUGCUAUUUCCCUGUCUUUUCCUUUGGCCUUGUUCUUACCUGCAAGACAAGGAGAACAUCUACCUAUGAGACAGAUAAGGCAAGUGAAGACGAUACCACACUUCGGUACUUAGAAGUUUCGUGAUUACGAUAUCAUUCUCCCACAAUAUUUCCUUAUGUCAUUUGUACUAAAUCAUUCAUUUGUACCCACUAAAGGAGAGCUUGAACCUAUGUACUUGUGUAAACCCUUCACAAUUAAUGCGAACUCAUCUACUCCAUAGACGUAGCCAAUCUGGGUAAACCACGUACAUCUUAUGUUUGCUUUCCUGUCUCUAUCCAUUUACAUACUUAUCCACCAUAAUGACCAGAGCAAUAAGUUAAUACUUUCUGUUGUACCAAAGUCCUCACUGAUUUUUUGCAUCAACAAGCCUUAAGUCCUUACCCUUUUGCGUCGCAAAUGAUAUAAGGUUGAUAGAUGAAACUCAUGAGGGGUAAAUGCGAAGCUUAACCUUUGGAGAGAAGUGGUGGAAUCUAAAGGUCUUCGCCUAAGCCGAUCAAAGACAGCAUAUAUGGAGUGCAAGUUCAGUGCAAAUGGAGACCAAAAUGAGUUAGGGGCGAGGAUCGGAGAUCAGGUAAUACCAAAGAGCGACCGUUUUCGCUACCUAGGAUCUAUCUUGCAAAAGAACGGAGAAUUAGAUGGAGAUCUCAAUCAUAGAAUACAAGCUGGAUGGAGAGGUGGUCUGUGAAGGUAGUGCGUGUCGUCACCUCUAAAGCUCAAAAACACCUCGUUCUUCCAGCGGUUUGAGCGGCACGGGCAAGACGAAGAGGCUGCGAUGGCGGUUCCAUGGACAGAGCUGAUGGUAUCUAUCGAUAAUUGGUACUAGCGUUGGGAGACUAGAGGGAGUGCAGCAGGCUGUGCGGCUUGGCUUUCAGAUAGCCAAAGCUCAGUCAAAUGUCAUCGCCUAAGUAUUAUAGAGAAACAAAAUGCGUGGAGCGAUAUGAAUAUACAUGUACAUGGCAUUGCAUAAGUUUACUACAAAAUAUGGUAACACCCUAAUUUUUAUGGACAUAGUACUAUCAGUAUUUGUGACUAUCUGCAUUGCAACUAUCCAAUAUUGCCAUGACAAUAGUUAUAUCCCAUCCAAUAAAGAAAUUAGAUAUGUCAAGGAACACACCCUUCACAUGAUCGGUACUUAACCCAUCGUAGCUUAAUUUAAGCGAUUCAUGAAUUUUUUUCAUGUGAAAUAUUUUAUUCAAUGUACUUUCCCAUAUGCUUCUACUUUUUUUCGUAGCCAACAAAUGGCCAACAACUUUCUGAGCUAGGGGCAAUCCUCCACAAUAAAGAACAACAUCUUCUGUGAUGUUGAGGUCGUUGCUGUCAACGAUCCCUUCAUCACCACCCGACUACAUGGUAAGUAAUUUACAUGGGUUUCCGCCUGUGACUGAAAACAGGUUCUCAGCUGAGUAGAUAGAAGUAUGCAGGGUUGCCAGGGCAUACAAUUCAUUAGUUGUGGGAUAUGUAUAUAUCUCGUCACGUCCCAUGCAGACACAUACCAACAUUUCAGGAUCGGGUGGAUUGAGUCUUAAAAUUGAAAAUUAGUUUAUAUGACAAAUUGAAAAAAAAAAGAAAAAAAAAAGUAAGCAAGCUCAUAUGACAUUUAAAAAAAAAAAUUCUUGUUCUCAAUUGUAGAACAUAGCUCUAACCACUUAUUGCACAAACACAUAAACCAUGACGAUGAUACGUUUGUUAGUUCUCAGUUUUUAUUUUGGACUUGGAAGUUGUGGGCACGGUGUUGCUGUUAGGAACGGAUUCAACUCUGAUGUACCUCUAACUAAUGCAUUGGUGACCGGUUCUGUCAAAACCGCUGCCAGCUUGUUCCGGUUGCAGAGAAAAAUGUGAUUUCUUGUUGCUCCAUGAUUGCUCUUUCACACUUAACAGGCAAGAACACUUACAUCUAUGAUAGGUGAAGAGAGAAAUUUCCUUGAAAUGAGGUGGUUUAUAGAACACUCAAGGCUCAAGCCAACCCCUAAGAUAUGUCUCUAAUUAAUGAUGUGUAAGACAUACUUACAUGUAAAUUUCUCUAAUGUCACUGAUCAAAUUGGAAAUUAUUAAUUUAUAUUUGUUAAGAUGAUAAGUUACUUAAAAAAAAUAAAAAAAGGACUCGUGACAUUGCUUCUCUAGAAAGUGCUUAAGCUAGAAGUGCUUCUAUUAUAACCACAUUGAAAUUUUUAUUAGAAACUCAAGUACAUUCUAAAAAACCACUUAAGGAUGCUUUUCGAAAAUAAAAAAAAGGCGUAUGCUUCUCCAUGAACCGCUUCUUUGAGCCAUAUGAACAAUUUAAACAAACCCCUAACUAGCGAGCAUGGCCUAGCCCAACCCCCAAUAUUACUCUUAGAAGCAACGAAAUUGAGAUGUAAAAACAUGUUUUCAUGGUCUUUAUAGAGGAAAAAGAUAGGGUAAAAUGACCUAAAUGGGUAAGAUUUAUAAACAAGUUGAUUCAUGCUUCAUAAUUGCAUCAGUUCCUUUGCAGUUUGUAGUAAAUGUCUACGUACCUUCCUUACAAGUCUCUUUACUGCGCUUUCCUUCAAUUCACUGUUGUUUUGUCAUCGUCAAAGCUUUCAAUAUUAAGAUCAAACCUUAAUAUUUUGCAGACCUCAUCAGAUGAGUGGCCUCUUUAACUCUGUACCAUCGUCAGUGUCGUCAUCAAACUCAUAUGGUAUAAUCUGAUAGUCUUCCUCAUCAGUAUCAUCAUCUCACGCUGUCACGCCCCGAUCCCCACAUACGUCCAGGAUCGACACUUGACGUCAUCAAAUAACCACAUAUCUAACAUACCCCGCCUCCAAGAUAUGUACAAAGCACAACUCGAGAAUCGAAUCGCAUAGAAGUAUUUCGUAUACUUUAUGGCUGCAUCUAACCUCUUCGUUAGACUGCCUACAUACCCUCAUUAGGGAUCAAGCCAUUCGUAGUUCGUCAUUCAUUACACCUCGACAUUUAUCACAAUACGUUCAAAUCGAAAAGCAUAGCAUUCCUCAAUCAAUUAUUAGAACUUAACAAGCAUGAAUUACUAGAUUCAUGGUUACAUAACAAAUCCACAUGACAUUCAAGGUUUCCAUUCCAUCCAUCAUAUAAAUCACUAUGUUUUCAACGUGAUAUCUCCAUCCACAACAUGUAACUUAUCCAAUAACCAACGAAGCACAAUAUUAUUCUUAAGCCACAUUGAUCACUAAAUAAUCAUAAUAAUAACAAUCAUAUUCAACAUCAUUCCACAAUUCCCGUCAAUUAAUCCCUUCAUGAAUCAAGGAUGCAUGAUCUUAGCAUUUAACUACGUUAAUCAAUCAAUGAGAUAACAUACCAUUUCACCAAUUCAAUUAGAGAACUCUAUAUAAUUCCCUACUUGGGUUAUGAGUAAUAACAUGGUAAUUCUAAUUUAUAUUCACAAGGUCUAUGGAUAAUUCCCAUUUGCUCGAAUCUAGGGUUCUAGACUAACCUUUUGGAACGUGCAAGAGUAAGGAUUUCGGACCACUCAACGGAAUUCAACCACAUCGGGUUCCAGACCACUCAACGGAACCAAAAUAUCAAUCGGUUUCUCGUAAUCUAUCCAGACCUGUUGCAUGUAAAAUCAGUGCCUACAUCAUGGAAAUGGUGCAUUGGGUAAUUCAGAACUUGGAUAAGUUGUGAAACUCAGGUGAACGACAAUAAUACAAAGUGUGAUAAUAGUGAUAAAACCAACCAUCAAUCACAGUUUAUAAACUUUGAAUAUGAAUCAUUCAUAAGAAAUUAAUACCAAACCUUCGCAAACUCUGAAGGAGUCACCCAAACAUCCAACGGUUCGUCUGAAACAAUCACAACAUCUCAUAACCAUAUUCUCAUACAACACCAUGAAAAGUAGGGUUAGAGCGACAUAGUUCGGCCGAAGCCUAUACCUUUGAAGCUAUCUCAAUCCAAACUCAAUGAAACCCAAGGUGAAUACAAUUCCGGAACUUCACUCAACGGAAUCGCGGAGUAGAAGGGAUUCUGGACCAUCUCUCAUGGAAUCCAAGUGGAUACGAUUCCGGAACAUCACUCAACGGAAUCGCGGAAGGCCAACAACCAUAAUGUACAACGGCUCAAAGAAAUGAGACAAGCACAAGCUACUAAAUUUACAAAAGCUUAACCAAGGGAAAUAAGGCACAUAUGCUAAAUUUAAAACGAAUCAACGAAGAGGGAAAAGAAACAAUAUCGAAGCAACAUAUCCCCAAUCACAACGGGUUCACAGUCCACCACUAGUCUUCACAUUUCAUCACAUCAAGCCAACCAUACAAAGCAAACCAUGUUUCUAAUAUGCACGUCAAAUCCCACAUCAUAAACUAUAACGAUGGCACUUUAUAGAAAACAUAAUCAUAAAACCGUCUCAUACCCUCUCAGGAUAAUAAUUAUGAAAAUAGAGUAAUCACCUGUAACAUAUAUUAAAGUCACUCACCCUUUUUUUUUUAUGUACAUAUACAUGAGUCAAAAUAAACACACAAGAGGGAGCCUUCACAAAGGUUGCUUAGGAGAAGUCUCAGCAGUCGGUAGAGCCCCAGAAAGAGAAGGCACCGGAGGGGGAUCAUUUGGAGCCUCAGUACUGGACAGAACCCUAGAAGGAGGAGGCAUCAGAGGUUGAUCAUUUGGAGCUUCAUUACGCGGUACAGCCCCAGAUGACGAAGGCAAUAAAUGCCUUUGGAACAAACCCACAAAUCUCUGAUGAUCAAGUAAAACCUGACCAUCAGUUUCCUUCAUCUGGUCAAGCUUCCUCUUCAUGUUUGUAGCAUAGUCAUGUGCGAGCCGGUGCAACUGUUUAUUCUCCUGUUUGAGACCUCUAAUCUCCUGUUUGAGACUCAUCACUUCAGCCGCCAAUGAUUCAACUUGGCGGGUUCGAGCAAAUAGGCGUUGGGCCAUAUUAGACACAGAACCUGCACACUGAACACUGAGAGCCAGCGAAUCCUUAACAGCUAACUCAUCAGACCGUUUGGAAAGUAGUCUGUUAUCUUUGGGAGUGAGAAGGUUCCUGGCCACCACCGCAGCGGUCAUAUCAUUCUUCAUCACGGAAUCCCCAACGGUAAGAGGACCAGUAAGGGAGACGAAGGAUGGGCGCCAUAUGUUGUCUGGAGAAGGCGGGGCUGCCUCUUCAACAAGGUUCAAGUCAAAACGACGGUCGGAGGGGCCAGACAUUUUCAAAGGUGUUGAAGAGAGAAGAGGUCGGACAAAUCAAGAUCUUAGAAGUGCAAGAAUGAAGCUUCUACUGGUGGAGAUUCAAGUGUGCUUUGGAACGUAAUGCCAGCCCCUAUAAAAAUCUGCACUCGACGGAGCUUCAGAAAUCGAAGAGGCGCCUGCUCAGAAAUCGAAGAGGCGUUUGCUUUCUCAAAAGCUGGGCUGCUUAGAGAUCACGAGGGUUGAUCUCAGAAAUCGAAGAGGCGUUUGCUUUCUCAAAAGUUGGGCUGCUCAAAGACCACGAAGGCUAAUCUCAGAAAUCGAAGAGGCGCUCGCUUUCUCAAAAGCUGGGCUCCCCAGAGACCACGAGGGCCGAUCUCAGAAAUCGAAGAGGCACCUACUUUUCCAGCCUUGUCAGCACCUGUCACACGCACACUCAGCUUUGCGGAAAUUAUGGGCAUUCUGUCGAAGACUUCUGGGGAAGUAGAAAACACAUGAAUCUUACUGUUCAAUCACCCACUUCCCACACGCAACAAUAGCUCAUGGGUACCACAGAAAACUUUGCCAAAGUUCUCUGCCAAAGUUGAGCACGUGAAGCUUGCAGGUCCCCACUACAUCGCUCUGACCAAGAAGGGUAAAAGAAUAGCAAAGAAAUAGCACUAACAAAGUUUAGACCUAUAAAUUUUGAAGGUCUAGCUACCAUAUUAUUACCCACAAGGGUAAAGGAACAGUACCACUGCUGGAUAAUUGGAAAGUCCCUGUGUGUCAACCUCUGUGCUUCGUGGCAAGGUAGACUAGCAAAACAUGCCCAACCUUUACUCACAUUCGAGAAAACACUCCCAAUAAGAUUGCUUGCUCCAAAAGCCAGACUCCCAACAUGACUACUUUCUUAAAAAUCGAAGAGAGGGUAAAGGAACAGUACCAUUGCUGGAUAAUUGGAAAGUCCCUGUGUGUCAACCUCUGUGCUUCGUGGCAAGGUAGACUAGCAAACAUGCCCAACCUUUACUCACAUUCGAGAAAACACUCCCAACAAGAUUGCUUGCUCCAAAAUCGAAGAGGCACCGCCCUCCGAAUCUCGAGAGCCAGACUCCCAACAUGAUUACUUUCUCAAAAAUCGAAGAGACACUGCUCCCCGAAUCUUCGAGAGCCAGACCCCCAGCAUGAUUGCUUUCUCAAAAAUCGACGAGGCAUCGUUCUUCGAAUCAAUCGAAAAGGCGCUCGCUUUCUCAAAAGCUGGGCUGCUCAGAGACCACGAGGCUCGAUCUCAGAAAUCGAAGAGGCACCUACUUUUCUAGCCUUGUCAGCACCUGUCACACGCACACUCAGCUUUGCAGAAAUUAUGGGCAUUCUGUCGAAGACUUCUGGUGAAGUAGAAAGCACAUGAAUCUUACUGUUCAAUCACCCACUUCCCACACGCAACAAUAGCUCAUGGGUACCACAGAUAACUUUGCCAAAGUUCUCUGCCAAAGUUGAGCACGUGAAGCUUGCAGCUCCCACUAAAUCGCUCUGACCAAGAAAGGUAAAAGAAUAGCAAAGAAACAGCACUAACAAAGUUUAGACACAUAAAUUUUGAAGGUCUAGCUACCAUAUUAUUACCCACAAGGGUAAAGGAACAGUACCACUGCUGGAUAAUUGGAAAGUCCCUGUGUGUCAACCUCUGUGCUUCGUGGCAAGGUAGACUAGCAAACAUGCCCAACCUUUACUCACAUUCGAGAAAAACACUCCCAACAAGAUUGCUUGCUCCAAAAUCGAAGAGGCACCGUCCUCCGAAUCUCGAGAGCCAGACUCCCAACAUGACUACUUUCUCAAAAUCGAAGAGAGGGUAAAGGAACAGUACCAUUGCUGGAUAAUUGGAAAGUCCCUGUGUGUCAACCUUUGUGCUUCGUGGCAAGGUAGACUAGCAAACAUGCCCAACCUUUACUCACAUUCGAGACAACACUCCCAAUAAGAUUGCUUGCUCCAAAAUCGAAGAGGCACCGCCCUUCGAAUCUCGAGAGCCAGACUCCCAACAUGAUUACUUCCUCAAAAAUCGAAGAGACACUGCUCUCCGAAUCUCGAGAGCCAGACCCCCAGCAUGAUUGCUUUCUCAAAAAUCGAAGAGGCAUCGUUCUCCGAAUCUCGAGAGCCAGAUACCACAGACCACUUUUUCAAAGUGCUCUGACAGAGUUAAAACAUGUGAAACUGGCAGCUCCCACUACCGUGAUAUGACCAAGCAGGGUAAAGGAAUAGCAUUACUACUUGUUAGGGAGACUCCUAUAUAUGUCGACCUCCAUCCCCAACGAACAGGCAGACCUGCAAAAAUGCUCAACCCUUCAUCAUAUAUGAGAGGGCACUCCCAACGAAACCUUUCGAAAUAUUCAGCUUUCUUUCCCCCCGAUAAUACCUCUGCAAACAAGCUAUACUAGAGCAAGAAUAUCUCAUAUCAUCAGGGUUAAAAGCAAGAGUAUCCCAUAUCAUGCUUUUUCCCUGUCUUUUCCUUUGGCCUUGUUUUUACCUGCAAGACAAGGAGAAAGAGAGCAAUCAGUCAGCACUUGGAAUCAAGCUUCCAGCCAGGAACUGACUGCCUGGAACCGCUUACCUGAUUACUUACCUGGCAUUGCUCUCGAGUACUCAUCUUCAACAUCUUAUGUUUCCAGGGAAGAUUCCGCAUCUGCUUGAGGAACAGAUAGGGCAAGUGCGAAGGAUACAAGGAAGCAUGUGGAGACAAGCGUAACAGCACACGUGCCGAUACAUCCAUUACUCUGUCAAAAGCAAAAGUAUCCCAUAUCAGCAGGGUGGAACGUACUCUAGAUUUGAUGGACUUGUUUUGACCCUCAAAUUCUUCAGUCGGCCUUAUACUCUGGAGGAAACCAGAAAACCCUCCAGCUCAGUUCAAGAAUAAGCCUGUGGAAAGUUACUUCUUCAAAAGCAAAAGUAUCUCAUAUCAUCUCUUCUCAUUUUUCUUCUCUUUAUCCUUCAUGCUGCUGAAAGAUGGGGAGAAGGUGAACAAUCAGUUGGAGCUUUGAUUGCUUACCUUGUCUGUCACCUCUUUCAGCAGACCCCCUAGCUCGGCGACUUGGGGGACUCCUACUACAUGGUUUGUAUCGCGCUUGACCAAGCCUGAAACUACAAGUAAGCUUCAAGUGAAAUUGAUACAUUACCUUGUGCAUCUCCACCAGUUAAAGAUACCACCCCUGGAUGGAGGAAGAGUACUUCCAGAGAAGAUGCCACAUCUACCUAUGAGACAGAUAAGGCAAGUCAAGACGACACCACACUCCGAUACUUAGAAGUUUCGUGAUUACGAGAUCAUUCUCCCACAAUAUUUCCUAAUGUCAUUUGUACUAAAUCAUUCACUUGUACUCACUAAAGGAGAGCUUGAACCUAUGUACUUGUGUAAACCCUUCACAAUUAAUGAGAACUUUUCUAUUCCGUGGACGUAGCCAAUCUGGGUGAACCACGUACAUCUUGUGUUUGCUUUCCUAUCUCUAUCCAUUUAUAUACUUAUCCACACUAAUGACCGGAGCAAUCUAGCGAAGAUCACAAAAAGCGACCGUUUUCGCUACCUAGGAUCUAUCUUGCAAGAGAACGGAGAAUUAGAUGGAGAUCUCAACCAUAGAAUACGAGCUGGAUGGAUGAAGUGUAAGAAUGCAUCCGGCGUGUUGUGUGUGACCGUCGUAGGCCACUGAAGCUCAAGGGAAAAUUUUAUAGGACGGCAAUAAGGCCAGCGAUGUUGUAUGGCACAGAAUGUUGGGCGGUGAAGCAUCAACACGUACACAAAAUGGGGUGUAGCGGAGAUGAGGAUGCUUCGUGGGAUGUGUGGGCACACGAGAAAGGAUAAGAUUGGGAAUGAGGAUAUCCGAGGUAAAGUAGGAGUAGCCGAAAUUGUAGGAAAGAUGAGAGAAAAUCGGCUCCGGUGAUUUGGACAUGUGCAAAGAAGGCCGAAUGACGCUCCGGUUCGAAGAUGUGACUACGGGACAGAGGUUCAGGGCCGAAGGGGUAGAGAAAGACCUAGGAAAUCUUUGGAAGAGACUCUAAGAAAAGACUUAGAGUACUUGGAUCUAACGGAGGAUAUGACACAAAACCGAGCGCAAUGGCGUUCUAGGAUUCAUAUAGCCGACCCCACUUAGUGGGAAAAGGCUUUGUUGUUGUUGUUGUUGAACCAUACAUAUUAUUUCUCAUCCAUGAAAUCAACAUUUUAACGUUCUAUUCCUAUGCUUGUAACCUUCAUUCUCCAUCCUUUAAUAAACCAACCCAAAGUUAAUGGUUUUUCAACUUAAAACACCACCUCUUCACUCAUGCCACUACCCCUUUUGACAUGUAUAUGCGGCAAUAUAUAUAUAUAUAUAUUAAUUAAGAGAAACUAGAUCGUUUACUAAUAACUUGAAUAUAACUACUAGUAAACAAUCUAAACUCUUAAACCCCAACUAAACACACUCAAAUAAGCACAAGAUUAACAAGGAUGUCAUUUCAACUAUAAUUCCCUUCUAGGUCUAGAUGCUUGGUAACGAAAGAAGUAUCUCAUAAAUCUAAUGUCACAUAUCGGAAAAUUCGACUUUUUCCAAAAAUUCUCAAAUUUUACAAGAAUGAAGGUCUCAACAAGUAGAGUAAAUUUUAUAUUUGUGGCCAAGUCCAAUUUGACCGGGAAGGCUCUCAAAUUGGCUCGUAUCCAUCGAAAACCCUAAGGUGGGUGUUCUUCAAUUCGGCUUCCUUGGUGUUCCAAUGCCCCUACAACUAAUUGGGUCUUGUUCUUGGGUCCAAGAGAAGUUGAUCAAGGGUGAUGUGAAUGGUGAUACUCUCCAGAAUGACAAUUCGUCGUCGAGAACCCCCGGGUUCUCCUAUGGAGUUCUACAUGAAAUAGACCUUAAAAACCCUUGAUAUUUGGUGGAGGUGGAAGGAGGAAUGUAGUUGAGCAGGUUGCAGGUGAAGGAGAUAAGAAAAUCAGUUGAGAAAUGGUAGAAAUUUGCAUGAAGUUGGCCGGAUCAAAACCAUUUUUUUUUUUGUGGUGCACGGGUUCACCAAAUGGGGGGGACUCCUUUCCCUCCUUUUCUUUCUUCACUCGCCACUCCCGUGGCUUUAUCUUUUUUUUUUUUUUUUAAGCAACACAACUUCAAACUUCCGUAAUUAUACCGUUAUAAUCCGGACUCGCAAAUGGUUUUCGCCUAUGCUUUCGUGACUUCAAGACCUAUUCGAAAACGUUACUUGUGACCUCGAAAGGUCAACGAGUAAAUAAUAAUUCCAAACUUCACUCUUCGUAACUAGAUUAAUUGAAAUCUAAUUUCAAAUAAAUUAAUAUAAAUUCUCAAAAAGUAAUAUAAAUCUCAAUAAUACAAUUACGUAGAUUAUAACAGUGAAAUCCAGAAACGGGAUUUCACACACCCUUAUGGUACGCGCUCAUAGUUCACUUUUUUUAUUUCUGAAGGUAAACAAUGUUCCCAUCCUACAGAAUUUACUCCUGUUUUCUUCACCUUAAAUUGAUGAUCAUCCUCUGUUCCAAAAAAUUCUGCAUGCACACGAACCUUGUCGCCACUUUUCAGAUUGAGCUUCCUGUUUGAAAGACUUCCCAGCCAAAGAUAAUCUUCAUGGGAGCCAGUUAUGGUGGCAUCCAUUCACCAGAUGGAAAAAUAAGUUCGCUGGGAAGGAUUAACCACAUCAAUCCAUAAAGACCCACUACACUGCGAUGGUCCAAAGAAUAAACGAUGCACACAGCCAACCCUCCUAUAUAAUCAAUACUUGGCGGCACAUCAAAUUUGACAUUUUCAUCCUCUGUCACGACAUAGGUUAACCAUUAAGGAAUAACAUUUCAAGAGCGACCGAUUCCUCCAAAUACAUCCCCCACGUUCCAUUUCUACAACGCGGCGUGCAAAGUUUGUAUAAGCAACAAUACGAGAAGGGCACAGAGAGAGAGAGAGAGAUCGAGGCUAUCAUGCAACAAAAUAUAAAACUCAUCUAGGACAAUUAUGACUAUUGUGAAUUGGUAAUAUUAUCGAUGGAUAUGUUAUAUGAUCUUCAAACUCGCUAUAGCAUGAUUUUUUUUUUUUGUAUCCUUUUCGUCAACUUCAUCUGUUUUUCUAUUAAGUAGAGAUGAUAAACUUAAAAUUCAUCCCACAACCUAAAAAAUGGAAAAAAGAAAAAAGAAAAAAAGGAGGUGGAUGUACAAAAUCCUUGCUAUGCCCUCUAUAUUUAACAAAAAAAUAAAUUGAGUUAACGGAUAUAAUUGAAGUACCACAUGAGAUUGAGUUUGAGAACCACAAUAAGAAAAUAAGAAAAACUAUUCUAGAAUGAAGGUAAAAUUCGUGACAACAAUGCCGUAUAUCUAAAAAAUAGUUCAUGCAUAUUUAGAUGUUAACACAUAGUCAUUUAUCUCGUUUAUUGAACAAACAACGAGGACAACAAUGUUGUUUUCUCUCUUUUGAAAUUCAUAAACAAAAUUGAGAUUUCUUGGUGACUCCUCUGUCCCUCAGGACCAACAAGGGGUAAUACAGGAAUAUUCACCUGUUGUCCAUUGACUAUGCCUUUUGGCCUGAUCUUAGGCCCCGACUCACUCUCCGUGGACAAACCUUGCGAAGGAACCUUUAGGUUUUCGGGGCAUCGGAUUUUCACCAAUGUUUGCGUUACUCAUGCCGACAUUCUCGCUUCCGCUCCGUCCACGUCUAAUUGCCAUUUUGUUUGGGCUUCUCCUUUCUGUUCUUACCGUCUCUUCCAUUUGGAAGCUUCUGGUCAUUAAUUUUUUUAGCUUCAUUAGAAGAUGCUCCCAUUUGGCCCCUGUAAGGAAUGAAAUUGAAUUUCGUGUUCAGCUAUUUAAAGAUUCAACUCUAAGUUUUGUCAAUAGCAAUUAAGUAAGAACAGGUAUGAUCAAGCUUAUAAACAAAUCACAACAACAUUACAAAUCAGAAACAUGUACAAGGUAAUGCAGUUAUAUCCAAUUCUUUUGUGCUUUCUCCACAAAAGUUCCUCCACAUUAACGUAACUCUAUAUCAAUUAAUCUAUCAUACAAGACUAGAAAUAAUCGGCAAUUGAAAAAUAAGACAACACGAGCUUCCGUCCAGUAAAAUUUUCAUCCAAAGACAGUAGGCAAAACCAAAAACGUACAAACCUUCAAUGCCGUUGUAUAAUCUCUCCCUUCCCAAUAUGCUCAUCAAGCAAUUCCGGCACAUUACCAGGAGUGGCGAAGGGAUACCUGCAAUUAAUAAUACAUAAUAUUCAUACUCCUUCAUCGAUCCCAAUACGAUAAAUUUUAAAUUGUUAUGAUCCAGAUAUUACCAAUGAUCUGUUAUGCUUCCAUCUGAACCUAGGUUGUAGAUAUCCAAGUUUCCAGCAUACUUGUGGCCUCCAAUGUGAAAGCAAGCAGUAACGAAUACCUGAUCCGUCAAUCCUCGCAGCUCAGCCUCCUGUUUGAACUUAUCAAUGAGAGUACGUGCAUGAUAACGAUCCCAUUUAUCUUGACUCAUACGUGCGCAUAUAAAUACAUAGGGGCCAGUCAGCGGCUCUUGCACUCCAGAAGCCCAUGGUUUGUGAUUCAUAAGGACAUCAUCAACAAAGCUGUCCACAUCCGACUCUUUCAAGCCCCUUUGAUCAACAAACAAAAACAACCUCAAAAUCACAAGAAAGGAUUUACAGGCAAGCAAUUAGUCGUAAACGGAGCCAUUAAAUUCAAUUUCUACAACUAAUUUCAGAAGCUAACACAUAUCUAAUUAUCCAUUUAGGUCAGUAAAUUCAUGUUGGUUAUGGAAUGGGCCCUCGAUUAUGAAUUAAUUACGGUUUGCCAUUGUGUGUGCUAGUGUGGCCCAUGCUUAACAGCUGGGUUGGGCUGCUGCAUUUAGGUGUGUGUUUGCUAGCUGGCUGGCUGGUGGGUGAGUCUUAGAUACAAACCCAAUCUUAUUAAUUAAAUUUGGCCUUUGGUGUGCUCAAACUGCUAUGGGGGAUGGUUAGAAUUUUGAGCCCGGGAUGCAGUAGGACCAAGAGCAAUCCACCACUUGCAGAAUUGUUGUCAAAGUAACUCUGCUAAAAAUAUGAGCUAUACUUCCUGCACUAUGCUUUUACUGUGAAGUGGAAAUAGUCUUUAGAGAGGCUUAUUUGGGAUAAUUGAUAAAGAGGUUUGUGUUUAAGACUUGAGAGUAGUGCGGUGUCUUUCUUGCUGGUUCUGCUCACACCACCUCAUCUAGCCAUUGUGAUGGAGUACACGGCUGGGUGAGA
rnacentral:lncRNA from 1 species